GAUGAACGCUAGCGGCAGGCUUAACACAUGCAAGUCGAGGGGUAUUGGUUUUCGGACCAAGAGACCGGCGCACGGGUGCGUAACGCGUAUGCAAUCUACCUUUUGCAGAGGGAUAGCCCCAGAGAAAUUUGGAUUAAUACCUCAUAGUAUAGUACUUUGGCAUCAAGGAACUAUUAAAGUCACAACGGCAAAGAUGAGCAUGCGUCCCAUUAGCUAGUUGGUAAGGUAACGGCUUACCAAGGCUACGAUGGGUAGGGGUCCUGAGAGGGAGAUCCCCCANACUGGUACUGAGACACGGACCAGACUCCUACGGGAGGCAGCAGUGAGGAAUAUUGGACAAUGGGCGCAAGCCUGAUCCAGCCAUGCCGCGUGCAGGAUGACGGUCCUAUGGAUUGUAAACUGCUUUUAUACAGGAAGAAACACUCCGACGUGUCGGAGCUUGACGGUACUGUAAGAAUAAGGAUCGGCUAACUCCGUGCCAGCAGCCG
rnacentral:rRNA from 1 species